UGGACGUGUGAGCUAACGUGGCA
rnacentral:siRNA from 1 species